rnacentral:rRNA from 1 species
UACGUAGGGUGCAAGCGUUGUCCGGAAUUAUUGGGCGUAAAGAGCUCGUAGGCGGUCUGUCACGUCGGCUGUGAAAACUCGGGGCUCAACUCCGAGCCUGCAGUCGAUACGGGCAGACUAGAGUUCGGUAGGGGAGACUGGAAUUCCUGGUGUAGCGGUGAAAUGCGCAGAUAUCAGGAAGAACACCUAUGGCGAAGGCAGCUCUCUGGGACGGUACUGACGCUGAGACGCGAAAGCGUGGGGAGCGAACAGG